GACGAACGCUGGCGGCGUGCUUAACUCAUGCAAGUCGAACGGAAAGACCCUGCUUUUGUGGGGUGCUCGAGUGGCGAACGGGUGAGUAACACGUGAGUAACCUGCCCUUGACUUUGGGAUAACUUCAGGAAACUGGGGCUAAUACCGGAUAGGAGCUCCUGCUGCAUGGUGGGGGUUGGAAAGUUUCGGCGGUUGGGGAUGGACUCGCGGCUUAUCAGCUUGUUGGUGGGGUAGUGGCUUACCAAGGCUUUGACGGGUAGCCGGCCUGAGAGGGUGACCGGCCACAUUGGGACUGAGAUACGGCCCAGACUCCUACGGGAGGCAGCAGUGGGGAAUAUUGCACAAUGGGCGGAAGCCUGAUGCAGCAACGCCGCGUGCGGGAUGACGGCCUUCGGGUUGUAAACCGCUUUCGCCUGUGACGAAGCGUGAGUGACGGUAAUGGGUAAAGAAGCACCGGCUAACUACGUG
rnacentral:rRNA from 1 species